AAGAGCCCACCGUCUUUGAGGUAACUCGAAGAGCCAUGUAAACCCCACUUGAUGCAAGAGAACGCGACGCAUAGGUAGCCUGCCUGUCGCAAAAUCGCUUGAACGCAACGGUAACGUUGCGUCUAGACAGAUGAUAGUCCAAUACAGAACUCGGCUUAUAGACUGUCUUGCUUA
rnacentral:RNase_P_RNA from 1 species